GACGAACGCUGGCGGCGUGCCUAAUACAUGCAAGUUGAGCGAUGAAGCUUGGUGCUUGCACCAAUUUGAAGAGCAGCGAGCGGGUGAGUAACGCGUGGGGAAUCUGCCUUUGAGCGGGGGACAACAUUUGGAAACGAAUGCUAAUACCGCAUAACAACUUUAAACAUAUGUUUUAAGUUUGAAAGAUGCAAUUGCAUCACUCAAAGAUGAUCCCGCGUUGUAUUAGCUAGUUGGUGAGGUAAAGGCUCACCAAGGCGAUGAUACAUAGCCGACCUGAGAGGGUGAGCGGCCACAAUGGGACUGGGACACGGCCCAAACUCCUACGGGAGGCAGCAGUAGGGAAUCUUCGGGAAUGGACGGAAGUCUGACCGAGCAACGCCGCGUGAGUGAAGAAGGUUUUCGGGUCGUAAAACUCUGUUGGUAGGGAAGAACGUUGGGGAGAGUGGAAAGCGCAGCAAGUGACGGUAACUACCCAGAAAGGGACGGCUAACUACGUG
rnacentral:rRNA from 1 species